rnacentral:rRNA from 1 species
CUUGCUUAUCCGCCGGCGACCGGCGCACGGGUGCGCAACGCGUAUAGAAUCUGCCCUGUACUGGGGAAUAGCCCAGAGAAAUUUGGAUUAAUGCCCCAUGGUAUGUAUUAGCGGCAUCGCUUAUACAUUAAAGGCUACGGUACAGGAUGACUAUGCGUCCCAUUAGUUAGUUGGUAAGGUAACGGCUUACCAAGGCAGCGAUGGGUAGGGGCCCUGAGAGGGGGAUCCCCCACACUGGUACUGAGACACGGACCAGACUCCUACGGGAGGCAGCAGUGAGGAAUAUUGGACAAUGGGCGGGAGCCUGAUCCAGCCAUGCCGCGUGCA